rnacentral:tRNA from 1 species
AGAACUUUAAGUUAAAUAAACUAUAAGCCUUCAAAGCUUGAAAUAAGGUUACUUAAGUUCUA